UGGGGAAUCUUGCGCAAUGGCCGAAAGGCUGACGCAGCGACGCCGCGUGCGGGAGGAAGCUCUUCGGGGUGUAAACCGCUGUCAGGAGGGACGAAGGUCCGGGGGAGGUAAUGCCCUCGGGAUGACGGUACCUCCAGAGGAAGCGCCGGCUAACUCCGUGCCAGCAGCCGCGGUAAUACGGAGGGCGCGAGCGUUGUUCGGAAUUAUUGGGCGUAAAGCGCACGUAGGCGGCACGAUCAGUCUCGCUGUGAAAGCCCGGGGCUCAACCCCGGGAGGCCAGGGGAUACUGUCGAGCUGGAGACAAGCAGAGGUGGGUAGAAUUCCGGGUGUAGCGGUGGAAUGCGUAGAGAUCCGGAGGAAUACCAGAGGCGAAGGCGGCUCACUGGGCUUGGUCUGACGCUGAGGUGCGAAAGCGUGGGGAGCGAACAGG
rnacentral:rRNA from 1 species